UCCGGCUUAUCACCGGCAGUUUCUUUAGAGUGCUCAACUAAAUGGUAGCAACUAAAGACGAGGGUUGCGCUCGUUGCGGGACUUAACCCAACAUCUCACGACGCGAGCUGACGACAGCCAUGCAGCACCUGUGCGGACUCCGGCCGAACCGAAGGGAGCGUCUCUGCUCCCGGCGAGUCCCAUGUCAGGGGCUGGUAAGGUUCUUCGCGUUGCGUCGAAUUGAACCACAUGCUCCACCGCUUGUGCGGGCCCCCGUCAAUUCCUUUGAGUUUCAACCUUGCGGUCGUACUCCCCAGGUGGCUCACUUAACGGUUUCCCUUGGACGCACAACGUCUAGCGCCAUACGUCGAGUGAGCAUCGUUUAGGGCGUGGACUAC
rnacentral:misc_RNA from 1 species